rnacentral:rRNA from 1 species
ACGCGGUGAAUACGUUCCCGGGCCUUGUACACACCGCCCGUCAAGCCAUGGAAGCUGGGGGUACCUGAAGUGCGUAACCGCAAGGGGCGUCCUAGGGUAAAACCGGUAACUGGGCU